GCUGUGCGGACUAAGGAACACCUCGUUUGCGUGGUCGUUACCAAACAUGCGUGUCUUACAGUCAUCGUUGCUAGUUUUGUUCUUCCAGAUCAUCUAUGGUGGAUUUUGUGACGAGCGGAUUUACAAUGAGGGAAUGCAGUGAAUGGGAAAAAUGAUGAGAUGUCCUAACCUGCCCAGACAUGUCAUGAUGACGUCACAGCUGACGUCACAGGAUGUCCGGAACUUGUGGUCAUAGCUGGGAUGCUUUGCAACCUGCCUCUGUGCUCCGUCGCCCGGCGAUGGUCAGCGGCCUUUCCGGGCCGCUUCCUUCAAGAUGGCGUCGUUGAUCUUCAACUAAACUCCUUGUCUCCACUCUAUCUCUACCUAUUUUUUAUUUUUUAUAGACACAGAUUGUCCGCAACGCACAGGGUGGUCUGGACACGUCCUCCAAACAACAAACCAGCCACUGGUUUGUCGUCCCCUCAGAUGACGCACCCCGAAAGUCGCUGGAGAGGCGUGUUAGCUUAGCUCAAUUGGUAGAGCCCUGGACCGGUAAUCCAGAAGAUGUGGGUUCGAUCCCUACAGCUGGCUAACCUUUUCAGUGACUUUCAUCUUUCAUCGUUGAUUUCUUAGGCAACUUGAGGCUUUGUUUGUAUCUGUCCCUUCUAUGUUGUUCCAGCCUCAGAACAUCAGUUUCUCUCUUGUUCGACUAGCCUCUACUAUGGUGAAAUCAUUAUGUGGGAAACUGUAAUGCUCACAUCCCUGAAGAACACGCAUGCUAAAUGGGGGAACAAUGCUGGCCUUAUUAAGAAACAGCUGCUUGAAGCGCGUGCGUCCAAUGCAGGUAAUAGCUGGGUUAUUGGGAUAACCUCUUACCCUCAAAGAGUACGAAACAGAUAUGUAAAAUCUCCUUAUUUCGAGUGACCAUUCGUUGCUCUCAACAUAGGCUCUCCAAUGGCGACGUGCGGAUAGCACCAGUUAUCAAACGCAGUCCCUGAUGAUGUACUGGGUCUAAAAUCUUCAGGACAGAUUUCCGCGCAGACCCAAAAACAACACAUCCAUAGUCCAUUCUAGACAGCACUGUGGACACAUAGACCCUGUGCAGGGUGUCACGAUCUGCUCCCCAAGAUUUGUGGGCCAGCACCUUCAAUAGGUUAAGUGACUUAAUGCAUUUUGUUUUAAGGCUCUUGAUGCGGGGUAAGAAAGUGAGCUUGCUAUCAAAGAUGACCCCAAGAAAUUUGUGUUCACCCCUAACAGCAUGGUCCUGUCCGUUCAGCUUAAGAGUAGGUGAAGGAAACAGCCCUCUGACCCUCGAGAAGUGAACACAUACUCGUGGAAGAGAAAGAAAUCUGAAUGUCAUCCACGUACAAUGAAUAAGGCAUGGAAGGUGUGAUUAUGCUAGCUACUGAAUUGAUUUUCACGAGAAACAGAGUGACGCCAAGGACAGAUCCCUGCGGCACCCCGUUUUCUUGGAUGAAAGGACGGGAUAGUAUUAUUCCAAGCCGUACUUGGAAUGUCCUGCCUUGAAGGAAGCUUGUUAUACACCUAAGAAGGCGCCCCCUUAUUCUGAAAGAGUAUAGAUCUUGUAGAAUGCCAUACCGCCAAGCCGUGUCAUAUGCCCUUUCAAGAUCAAAACAUACAUACAGGCAGUGUUGUCUUCGGACGAACACUUCACGAAUCAUUGUUUCCACUCGAACGAGGUGGUCUGUUGUGGAACGUCCAGCGCGAAAACCACACUGUAAUUCAGAAAGGCAUUUAUUUUCCUCUAGGAAAUGGACGAGUCGAGCAUUGACCAUACGCUCAAACGUUUUGCCAAUGCAGCUCGUGAGAGCGACUGGUCGAUAACUGGCCGGGCUUGAAGGUUCCUUUCCGGGUUUUAACAGAAGAAUUACAGUGAAAUUUUCCAGGCUGAGGGUAAUGCACACUGGGUUCAAACUUGAUUAAAAAAUUGGAGUAAAACCUCUUUAGAUGCGUCAGACAGAUGACUCAACAUAGAAUACACCACCCUGUCUGGGCCUGGUGAAGUUGCUUUUGUACACUUUAAGGAAAGAUGAAGCUCUAUUUUCGUGAAAGGUUGAUUAUACAUAAGAUUGUCUCCAGAAUGCAUUGGAAUUUUCCUCUUCUCUGCACUACUCCUUAAGUUAAGGAACUCACGGGUGUAGUUGCAGGAAGAGGAAACGCUUUCAAAAUGCUCACCGAGAACGUUGGCUGGUUCCUGUAGACUUUCACAUGGCUGACCAUUCACUACAAAACGAGGGGUAGCGCGGCUCAUAUGUACACCUCUGAUCUUAUGAAGGCGAUCAAAUAAGUUUAGAAGGAGAAUUGGAAGACAGGGAUGAUACAAAGCUCUGCCAAGAGCUUGAGCAAGAGGACCGCUUGGCUUGCUUGCGCGUCCACCUUGCUUUGGCUCUCGCCUUUUUAAAGAGAACAAGGUUUUCACUGGUGGGGUAUCUUCGAAAUCUACCCCACGCACGAUUUUGAGAUUUUCGUGUUUCUUCACACUCCUUGUUCCACCAGGGUUUUGGUCGCUUAGGCAAGCGACCAGAAGUCUUAGUAAUAUAUUGUGUUGCUGCGUCAAGGAUGACAUUAGUUAUGACAUCGUUUGCUUCGUCAGUUGUCAUCCUAUCAAGAGGGAUUAAAGACAGGUCGCAUUUCUCAGAAAAAGUCUUCCAGUCGGCUUGUUCAAGUUUCCAUCUAGGGGGACACGUCAUGAUACCAACUUGAGGCAGAUAUUUCAA